AUUGAACGCUGGCGGCAGGCUUAACACAUGCAAGUCGAGCGGGGGAAGGUAGCUUGCUACCGGACCUAGCGGCGGACGGGUGAGUAAUGCUUAGGAAUCUGCCUAUUAGUGGGGGACAACAUCUCGACAGGGAUGCUAAUACCGCAUACGUCCUACGGGAGAAAGCAGGGGAUCUUCGGACUUUGCGCUAAUAGAUGAGCCUAAGUCGGAUUAGCUAGUUGGUGGGGUAAAGGCCUACCAAGGCGACGAUCUGUAGCGGGUCUGAGAGGAUGAUCCGCCACACUGGGACUGAGACACGGCCCAGACUCCUACGGGAGGCAGCAGUGGGGAAUAUUGGACAAUGGGGGGAACCCUGAUCCAGCCAUGCCGCGUGUGUGAAGAAGGCCUUAUGGUUGUAAAGCACUUUAAGCGAGGAGGAGGCUACUCUAGUUAAUACCUAGGGAUAGUGGACGUUACUCGCAGAAUAAGCACCGGCUAACUCUGUGCCAGCCGCCGCAGUAAGAC
rnacentral:rRNA from 1 species